AUGAACGCUAGCGGCAGGCUUAACACAUGCAAGUCGAGGGGCAGCAUACCCAGCAAUGGGUGAUGGCGACCGGCGGAAGGGUGCGUAACGCGUGAGCAACAUACCCUAUACAGGGGGAUAAGCCAGGGAAACUUGGUCUAAUAUCCCAUAGGAAAUAGAUAAGGCAUCUUAUUUAUUUUAAAGCUUCGGUGGUAUAGGAUUGGCUCGCGUGACAUUAGCUAGAUGGAGGGGUAACGGCCCACCAUGGCAAUGAUGUCUAGGGGUUCUGAGAGGAAGAUCCCCCACACUGGGACUGAGACACGGCCCAGACUCCUACGGGAGGCAGCAGUGAGGAAUAUUGGACAAUGGAUGGAAAUCUGAUCCAGCCAUGCCGCGUGCAGGAAGACGGUCCUAUGGGUUGUAAACUGCUUUUAUACGGGAGCAAUAAGGUCUAUGCAUAGAUUGAUGAGAGUACCGUAUGAAUAAGCAUCGGCUAACUCCGUGCCAGCAGCCGCGGUAAUACGGAGGAUGCGAGCGUUAUCCGGAUUUAUUGGGUUUAAAGGGUGCGUAGGCGGCUUUGUAAGUCAGCGGUGAAAUUUUGCAGCUUAACUGUAAAAGCGCCGUUGAUACUGUGAAGCUAGGAUUUGGUUGCUGUGGGCGGAAUGCGUGGUGUAGCGGUGAAAUGCAUAGAGAUCACACAGAAUAUCGAUUGCGAAGGCAGCUCACAAAGCCAAUAUUGACGCUGAGGCACGAAAGUGUGGGGAUCAAACAGGAUUAGAUACCCUGGUAGUCCACACUGUAAACGAUGAUAACUCGCUGUCGGCGAUAGACCGUCGGUGGCCAAGCGAAAGCGAUAAGUUAUCCACCUGGGGAGUACGACCGCAAGGUUG
rnacentral:rRNA from 1 species